rnacentral:rRNA from 1 species
AGCGAACGUUAGCGGCGCGCCUAACUCAUGCAAGUCGCACGAGAAAGGGGGCAACCCCCGGUACAGUGGCGCACGGGUGAGUAACACGUAGAUGACCUUCCCUGGAGUGGUGGAUAACCUGCCGAAAGGCGGGCUAAUACAGCAUGGGACCACAUGGUUUUGACCGAGUGGUGAAAGCGGGCCUCUGUUCACAAGCUCGCGCUCUGGGAUGGGUCUGCGGCCCAUCAGCUAGUUGGUGAGGUAACGGCUCACCAAGGCAACGACGGGUAGCUGGUCUGAGAGGAUGACCAGCCACACUGGAACUGAGACACGGUCCAGACUCCUACGGGAGGCAGCAGUGGGGAAUCUUGCGCAAUGGGCGAAAGCCUGACGCAGCGACGCCGCGUGGGUGAUGAAGGCCCUCGGGUUGUAAAGCCCUGUGGGAGGAACGAACCGUUCGGGGGUGAAUAUCCUCCGAGCCCGACGGUACCUCCUUAGCAAGCAUCGGCUAACUCUGUGCCAG